rnacentral:tRNA from 1 species
GCCCGGGUGGUGAAAUUGGUAGACACGCCACUUUGAGGUGGUGGUGCCUUAACCGGUGUGCUGGUUCGAAUCCAGUCUCGGGCA